rnacentral:rRNA from 1 species
UACAGAGGGUGCGAGCGUUGUUCGGAAUUAUUGGGCGUAAAGGGCGCGUAGGCGGUGCGGUAAGUCACCUGUGAAAUCUCCUGGCUCAACUGGGAGCUUGCAGGCGAAACUGCCGUGCUGGAGUGUGGGAGAGGUGCGUGGAAUUCCCGGUGUAGCGGUGAAAUGCGUAGAUAUCAGGAGGAACACCGGUGGCGAAGGCGGGUCUCUGGGCCAAAACUGACGCUGAGGAGCGAAAGCGUGGGGAGCGAACAGG